ACGGGAGGCAGCAGUGGGGAAUAUUGCACACUGGGGAAACCCUGAUCCAGCGACGCCGCGUGAGUGAAGAAGUAUUUCGGUAUGUAAAGCUCUAUCAGCAAGGAAGAAAAUGACGGUACUUGACUAAGAAGCCCCGGCUAACUACGUGCCAGCAGCCGCGGUAAUACGUAGGGGGCAAGCGUUAUCCGGAUUUACUGGGUAUAAAGGGAGCGUAGACGGCAAAGCAAGUCUGAAGUGAAAUCCCGGGGCUCAGCCCUGGAACUGCUUUGGAAACUGUUUAGCUAGAGUGCAGGAGAGGUAAGUGGAAUUCCUAGUGUAGCGGUGAAAUGCGUAGAUAUUAGGAGGAACACCAGUGGCGAAGGCGGCUUACUGGACUGUAACUGACGUUGAGGCUCGAAAGCGUGGGGAGCAAACAGGAUUAGAUACCCUGGUA
rnacentral:rRNA from 1 species